AGCAGCCGCGGUAAUUCCAGCUCCAAUAGCGUAUAUUAAAGUUGUUGCAGUUAAAAAGCUCGUAGUUGAAUUUCGGGGUCAGUAGGCUGGUCGUGCCACUGGUACGUACUGGUCUCACUGAUUCCUCCUUCCUGAAGAACCGUAAUGCCAUUAAUUUGGUGUUGCGGGGAAACAGGACUGUUACUUUGAAAAAAUUAGAGUGUUUAAAGCAAGCUAACGCUUGAAUACAUUAGCAUGGAAUAAUGAAAUAGGACGAUCGAUCCUAUUUUGUUGGUUUCUAGGAUUGACGUAAUGAUUAAUAGGGAUAGUUGGGGGCAUUAGUAUUCAAUUGUCAGAGGUGAAAUUCUUGGAUUUAUUGAAGACUAACUACUGCGAAAGCAUUUGCCAAGGAUGUUUUCAUUAAUCAAGAACGAAAGUUAGGGGAUCGAAGACGAUCAGAUACCGUCGUAGUCUUAACCAUAAACUAUGCCGACUAGGGAUCGGAUGAUGUUAAUUUUAUAAUGA
rnacentral:rRNA from 1 species